rnacentral:miRNA from 1 species
UGACUAGAUCAAACUCAUCCACC